rnacentral:lncRNA from 1 species
AGAGCGAUUAAGAGGGCAGGGGUCGGGCAAGUAUCUACUGCCAAAUGGUGAGGAGGAGGAGGAUGAUGAUGAAGAAUAUUAUUAUGAUGAGGAUGAUUAUUUUGAUGAAGAAGAAGAAUAUUAUUAUGACAAUGAUGAAUCAGAUGAUGAGAAAGACGAGAAAGAAAUGAGUGAGAAAGACGAAAAAGAAACGAAAGAAAAGAAAUAGAUCUGAGUUUUCUUGAUUGCAGGUAGAGUUGGUCUAUAGCAAAAUUAUGUUCUUGGUAUUAUUUACUUGUGGACUCUCAUUUUGUAAAGUGCUAUAGAUGCCCAAAAAAGAGAAAAAUUGCUGGGACUGCUGAAGGAAGCUUGGGUUUGAGUGGAAACUUUCACUUCACCUUUUUGUAAUUGUAUUUCUCAUUUCUCUUUUAUGUGUGUUUGGGUUUCUAUUCUUAGAUGAAAUUGCUGUAAUGUUAGAGGUUCUUUUCUUACGGAGUUCGAAAGUUUUGUUUGUUGCUCAAAUAUCUGUAAUUUUCUUAAUGAGAUUCCCAUUUUACUUGUCAAGUAAAUGUAUAUAUACAAAUCAAUAUUGCUACGUUUGCAGGCUUGCAGUGCUAGUUUUGGUAGCCGAACCAAUGUGGUACUUAAAUGAAAUGAUAUAUGUCAAAUGAUUACACUCCUCUUUUUCCUUUCACAA